rnacentral:rRNA from 1 species
CCUACGGGAGGCAGCAGUGGGGAAUCUUGCACAAUGGAGGAAACUCUGAUGCAGCGAUGCCGCGUGAGUGAAGAAGGCCUUUGGGUUGUAAAGCUCUUUUGUAGGGGAAGAUAAUGACUGUACCCUAAGAAUAAGGUCCGGCUAACUUCGUGCCAGCAGCCGCGGUAAUACGAAGGGACCUAGCGUAGUUCGGAAUUACUGGGCGUAAAGCGCGCGUAGGCCGUUGAGUUAGUUAAUUGUGAAAUCCCAAAGCUUAACUUUGGAACUGCAAUUAAAACUGCUCGACUAGAGUUUGAUAGAGGAAAGCGGAAUACAUAGUGUAGAGGUGAAAUUCGUAGAUAUUAUGUAGAACACCAGUUGCGAAGGCGGCUUUCUGGAUCAACACUGACGCUGAGGCGCGAAAGUAUGGGUAGCAAAGAGGAUUAGAUACCCUCGUAGUCCAUACCAUAAACGAUGAUUGUNUANAUGUUGUAAUUAUUUACUAGUAUCNCAGCUACGACAUAAGUACAUCCGCCGUGGGAGGUACGACCGCGAACGUUAAAACGUUAAAACGGUAAAGUUAGUACGGCGUGAGACGUGCCGACGGACGACGACGAGGGAGGUAGG